GGUUGGAUGGGAUGAAUCAACUGCAGGGGAGAGGCAGCCUAGAGUUUCACUGUGGGAAAUUGAACCUCUGACAACAUUUCCAAUGUAUCCAUCUCCUUUCUCCCUUAGGUUGAAGCGGCCAUGGCCACCUGGACUGCCUUCAUUUCCUGGUCUAUCAAAUGGUGAUAUGACUAUGAAUUCUCAGCUUCCAUGGCUGCAUGGUGGCAUGGGUGAUCAGGGGAUACAAUCACUUAAUUUCCAGGGAUUUGGUGUUACUCCAUUCAUGCAGCCAAGGUUCGAUGCUUCUAUGCUAGGUUUGCAGCCUGACAUUUUGCAAGCAAUGGCAGCAUUAGAUUCUUCUAAGCUUGCAAAUCAGCCACUUAUGCAGUUCCAACAUAUCCCUAGUACUUCAGCAUCUUCGAUUCAGAGCCAGCUUUUGCAUCCAUCCAAUUUGCAACAUACUUUCCUCCAAGGCCUCCCGGAGAACCAACUAAUAUCUCAGGCACAGAUGCUGCAGCAGCAAUUGCAGUGCCACCAAUCUUAUAAUACUCAGCAGCAACAGUUGCAGCGCCAGCGAUUGUAUCAUGAUCAACAACUACAGGAACCCCAUCAAGUACAGCGUCAAGAUCAGCAGCAAACCAAGGCUCAAUUGUGUUCAGCUACUCAGUCACAGCUUUCUCAUUUACAGGUCCUAGGUUCAACGGGUUCUCAACAAACAUUUUCUGAUUUAGUUGGUCAUCAUAUUAAUACAUCUAACAACAGUUCCACCAUGCAAAGUCUCCUGAGCUCAUUUUCCCGUAAUGGAGCAUCCACUUCCCUGAACAUGUCUGAGACCAACUCCCUAGUGUCUCCUUCCUCAUCAUCAAAGCGAAUUGCUCUAGAAUCUCAGAUCCCUUCACAAGCUCCAUACAUGGUGACACAGGCUGAAGUUAUUACAGUGCCUAAUACUAAGGUCUCAGAUUUUUCCACUUUGUUUUCACCAAAUCCUGGCAGACAAGUUUUGGAUUAUCAAGCUGUAGCAGUUAGCCAAAACAAUGCGCUAUUUGGAGUUAACGGUAUGUCAAACCUGAAGGGUAACAGUCCGGAGAACGGAUCUUUACCUGUGCCUUAUGCUACCUCUACCUUCACAAGUACAGUGGGUGGCGAGUAUCCCGUUAAUUCAGACAUGACGACAUCAAGUUGUGUAGAUGAAUCAGGUGUCUUGCAGUCCUCAGAAAAUGUGGAUCAAGCAAACUCACUUACAGAAACCUUUGUUAAGGUUUACAAAUCAGAGUCCUUUGGACGAUCACUGGAUAUCUCCAAAUUUAGCAGCUAUAAUGAGCUGCGAAGUGAGCUUGCUCGCAUGUUUGGCCUUGAAGGCCUGUUGGAGGAUCCUGAGAGAUCAGGCUGGCAGCUUGUAUUCGUUGACCGUGAGAAUGAUGUUCUCCUCCUUGGUGAUGACCCCUGGCAUGAGUUUGUGAACAGUGUUUGGUACAUCAAGAUACUCUCUCCACUUGAAGUGCAGCAGAUGGGCAAACAGGGCCUCGACCUACCAAGUGCUGGCAAAACGCAGAGGAUCACUAGCAAUGGCAAUGGCUGCGAUGAUUUCAUGAACCGGAACCAUUCGUGUAAUAUUAUGAAUGGGAUCCCUCUGGGAUCACUUGAGUACUAAUUUAUGUUGCUUGGACACUCAAAAUGUUAUUGCACCCGUGUUGGAUCGUACACUACUUUUGGAGGAUAAGACACACUCGUUGGCAAUUUUGACGAGUUUGAGCAACAUAAACUACUAAUGAACAAGAACAACCAAGUGACCCCUAAGGUAAAUGUACCAUGUAGUUGCUGGUAUCAGCAAUUCUUUGUACCUUGUUCUAUCAAAAUGUUAUUUUUUGUCAUGCAUUUCUUCUACCUAAAAAAAAAUGAGGUCAAAUCUCAUUUAAACCUUGUAAACCAGAUAAUUUUCAAUGUAAU
rnacentral:misc_RNA from 1 species